rnacentral:rRNA from 1 species
UCGCCUGUUUAUCAAAAACAUAGCUAUUAGAAUUAAAUGAUAGUGAAUUCUGCUCAAUGAGUUUUAAAUAGCCGCAGUACACUGACUGUGCAAAGGUAGCAUAAUCAGUUGGCUUAUAAUUGAAGUCUUGUAUGAAUGAAUAAAUGGGGAGUAACUGUAUCCGGAAUAGAAAAUGAAAUUGCUUAGUGAGUGCAAAUUCUUACAAAUACAUAAUAGACGAGAAGACCCUAGAAAUUUUAAAUAUCUGUACAAAUUUUUUUUUGUUGGGGCAACAGUGUAACAGAUAAUUUAUAUUAUAAUACAAGAAAUUUAUUUGAAAGGUGAAAUUACUCUAGGGAUAACAGCGUAAUAUUCACAUGUUUGCGACCUCGAUGUUGGACUAGGAAACGAAUAC